GACGAACGCUGGCGGUGUGCCUAAUACAUGCAAGUUGAGCGAUGAAGAUUGGUGCUUGCACCAAUUUGAAGAGCAGCGAACGGGUGAGUAACGCGUGGGGAAUCUGCCUUUGAGCGGGGGACAACAUUUGGAAACGAAUGCUAAUACCGCAUAAUAACUUUAAACAUAAGUUUUAAGUUUGAAAGAUGCAAUUGCAUCACUCAAAGAUGAUCCCGCGUUGUAUUAGCUAGUUGGUGAGGUAAAGGCUCACCAAGGCGAUGAUACAUAGCCGACCUGAGAGGGUGAUCGGCCACAUUGGGACUGAGACACGGCCCAAACUCCUACGGGAGGCAGCAGUAGGGAAUCUUCGGCAAUGGACGAAAGUCUGACCGAGCAACGCCGCGUGAGUGAAGAAGGUUUUCGGAUCGUAAAACUCUGUUGGUAGAGAAGAACGUUGGUGAGAGUGGAAAGCUCAUCAAGUGACGGUAACUACCCAGAAAGGGACGGCUAACUACGUG
rnacentral:rRNA from 1 species